rnacentral:rRNA from 1 species
AACGAACGCUGGCGGCAGGCCUAACACAUGCAAGUCGAGCGCCCUUUCGGGGGAGCGGCGGACGGGUGAGUAACGCGUGGGAAUAUGCCCUUCUCUACGGAAUAGCCUCGGGAAACUGAGAGUAAUACCGUAUACGCCCUGUGGGGGAAAGAUUUAUCGGGGAAGGAUUAGCCCGCGUUCGAUUAGGUAGUUGGUGGGGUAAUGGCCUACCAAGCCGACGAUCCAUAGCUGGUUUGAGAGGAUGAUCAGCCACACUGGGACUGAGACACGGCCCAGACUCCUACGGGAGGCAGCAGUGGGGAAUCUUAGACAAUGGGGGCAACCCUGAUCUAGCCAUGCCGCGUGAGUGAUGAAGGCCUUAGGGUUGUAAAGCUCUUUCAGCUGGGAAGAUAAUGACGGUACCAGCAGAAGAAGCCCCGGCUAACUCCGUG